CCCGAGCGGUGGAUCACUCGGCUCGCGGAUCGA
rnacentral:rRNA from 1 species